GCGGGGAGGGGAGCCGCCAAGGCGCGGGGACGGGGCGCGCAGCCGGACUUAGAGCCUCCCUCGGCUGAGCCGCUCAGCUCCUGAGCCCGCUCUCCUUGUCCUUGGGGGACCGCGAGCCGGUCCGUAAUCCUCCCGGGACCGGGUUUCCAGCAGCGGGCGGCAGCUCCUCGGGCGUGUUGGGAGGCCAAAGCAGAAGGAUCACAAUUUGUCAUCUCUCCUGUACAAUUUAGCAAGAACUUGUAUCGAAAUAAAAACUAAAAAAAAGGAACUGGAGAUAUAGUUCAGUGCGAAGGUCCUGGGUGCAACGCUCAAUACCAGCAUGCUGGCACAUCCCUCUAAUCCCAGCUACUCCAGAGGCAGAGACAAGAGGAUCAAGUUUGAUCUACCUCAAAAAAGAAAACAAACAAAAUCUUGUUUUGAGUAGUGAAGAAAUAUUUUCCACGUAUUAAAUGAAAGCAAAAAUUCCCAGAUUUGUAAUAUAUAUAUAUUAUAUAUAUUUUAUACAUAGUACAUACAUAAAAUGGUUUUUUUUUCUUUUUUUCCGGUACCAGGGAUCGAACUCACAACUGCCUGCUUGCAAGGCAGGUGCUUAUGCCACUGAGCUAAAUCCCCAGCCCCUAUGAAAUGGUUUUUUAGAAAUGUUUUAAAUUAUUAAGUGUCAGAGAAAUAUUUCCCAAAACAAUUUAUGACAUCAUAAAGCCUUUAAGAUAGUGCAAAUAGUUCAAUGACUAUUGGAAAGCUCAUUAAAAUUUACUUUUCUAAACCUGACUCUCCUAUGUACUUGAUCUUGCUUUGAAAGCUAGUGACAAUGAUUAAAUGUUUGGACUUUUUGGACCCACGAUUUAGCUCAGUGAGAAGUGCCUGCCUGACAAGUCAAGGUCAGGAGUUGGACUUCUGAGUCAUAGUUACAGCUUGAUUUCUAGCUGUUCUUUACUAUCUGUAUGACACUUUUGAUGUCAAAUAUUUUUUAGGUUGUUUCCUUAUAUGUAAUCUGGGAGUUCUAAGAAUUAAUGAGAUUCCUGUUUCUGGUAAACAGUAAGUAAUUUUCCUAAUCUGGGGUCAAUAAUCUUGGAAUCAUUGAUUCCUUAGGAGAAUCUCCCAUGGAAAAUGUGUUUAUGCUCUUUUCAUUAUAAUGUAGGAUUAUUCGGGACCCAGAGAUGGUUAAAAUUUCCUCUACCAAGUUUAUGGUGCUAGUCAAGAAGACAAAAAUUUUGCUCAUUUACUGGUCAUUAAAUUACCUGGUACACUUUAUACGUACUGAAUGUGAACUUGCCCAUUCCUGGGGAGUCCUUAACCCCUAGUAUUCCUUCCUCUUUUCUCAAAGAGCAGUAUUUGACAAAUCUUAGAAAAGCAUACAGACCAAAGUUUGGUUUUUGUUAAAAAAAAAAGACACUGCAAAAAUAAAGACUACAUUGCUAUAGAGUCUAUAACUCAAAGUGGCAUAACUUAUGUCAUGAUAUUUUUAUCUUUCUAGGAUCUGAAUGCUACAUAAAUCUGAUAAUUCAUGUCUUUUCAACAAUUCAGAAAUAUUUUCAAUGUCUUUGAGAAGGACCUGUCCUAGUUUGGGCUGUGAUAGAUUUUCAUAGCUUGAGAAUUACAAACAACAAAUAUUUACUUACUGCAGUUCUGGAAGUCUGAAAUGAGGGUGCUCAUGUGGGUCAGGGCUUCUUAGCAGUUUGCAGACUGUAAUCUUCAAAUGGCAGAGGGCAGAGCAAGAGAAUUUGCUGGAAUCUCUUAUAAUGGCAUUAAUUCUACUCAUUAGAUUAGCUCUCCUCUCCUGCACUAUCACUUAAAGCCCUUACCUCCUAAUACCAUUAGGAGUUAGGAUUUCGACAUAUGUGUGUGUAAACAUUUAGUGCAUGAUAAAUCCCCCAAGUUUUAUUUUUCAGUAAUUCCUGCUGGACAAUCAUGUGCGUCGUCUCAUCUCGCCUUGUGUUCUAUAGAUUUUUACCUUCUGUGCAACAUUCUAGGCAAUUGCUUCAGGUCUUUCAUUUUGUUAAUUCAGCACUAGGCCAACGGAUUUAGUUUAAAUGGAAUUAUUUAUCUGCAACUAGUAUUUAUCAAAAUCUCGUUUUCCUUAACUUUAUAGGAAUCGUUUAAGAAUACAUCUCAUGUUGACCAAAUAUUGGAGCAAGGAGGCAGAAAGAGUACGAGUUUGAGCCUAGUCUAGGUAACUUAAAAAAUUCUCUCUCAAAGCACAACAAAAAGGGUUGGGGAUGUAGCUUAGUGUGAAGACCUUGUGUUCAAUCCCAUCUCUCUCUCUCUCUCUCUCUCUCUCACACACACACACACACACACACACACACACACACACACACACACACACGAAGGUAGGAAGGAGAGAGGGAAGGAGAAAAAAAGACCGCAGUAAUUUUCAUUAUAAGGUUGUAUUUAUUUAUUUUUUGUACUGGGGAUCAAACUCAUGACCUCACACUUGCCAGGCAGGUACUUAUGCCAUUGAGCUACAUCCCCAGCCCUUUCAGUUUUUUGACACAGGGUCUCGCUAGGUGGUUCAGGCUGGCCUUGGGCUCACUUCGUAGCCCAGCCUGGUCUCAAACUAGCAAUGAUCCUUCUGCCUCAGCCUCUCAAAUGCUGGGAUUAUAGGAGUGUCUCACCACGCCCAGCAUCAUUAUAAGGUUUUAAAUUGCUUAAGUUUUCACUGUAGUAGGAACUAUACUCCAAAUUUUAAUUGAACAGAAAGCCAAGUAUGGCAACCAGUGUGGCACCUUUGUAUUUUUGAGACAGGGUUUCACUAUGCACCAUGGCGAAGAGGCAGGAAGACCUGUACUAUUUUACAGGGCCUGUGUCUUCUCUUUGGCUGUGUUCAGUCACUUUGAUCUGCUAGGAUAAGUUCCUGUUAUUCUUUAGGCAAAACAACAUCAUCUUAUACACUCUCAUUUAAUCAGUUCAGAUGCUCUGGGUUCUGAAAUCUAAAGAUUGUAAAAUAUAUUUAAAUUUAAAAAACUUAUUAAAGUCACAUUGCCAAGAACGGCAUUUGAAGUGAGGGAGCAUUUUGAAUGCAAUUAAUGGCAAUACUUUCUACUGUAUGAAACAUUCGUAUUUUUUAUUGCAAUCUAGGUGCACCUUUUAUUUUUUAAAUUAAUCAGUACCAGGGAUCAAACUCACGACCGCAUGCUUGCAAGGCAGGCGCUUAUGCCACUAAGAUAAAUCCCCAGCCCCAGUGCAGCUUUUUAGAAUUUAGAACCACAGGCAAAAAGGUGAGGAAGCCUGCAAAAGACAACUCUCAGAAGAGCAGCUGCUGUGUAUGUGGCAGCCUCAGGACAAGGGGACAGUAAAAGAUGGCUUGCUGUAUCUUGCCAGGUUUCUGGACCUUAUUUCUCCUUGCACUCCCAAACCUGUGAAAGGCUAAUAUGGACCCCAAAAAGAACAUGGAUGUCUGUUCUAUGAAAAAGAGCUCAGAGAGGCACUAUUUUAGUGAUCAGAAGCAUAGUCUGGGGGAGGCAGGGUCUAGCUCCCUCAGUUCAAAUACUGGCUCAACUCACGAUUCUGUCUCCAUUCUUGCAUUUCCUCCAUUUAUUAAAGCUAGUAAUUUGGUAGAAAUUACAAGGUAGGGAUUGCUUCAGUUGAAUGUUACAUUAGGUUGUAGGAAAGGCAAAGAGAAAAAGAUCAACUUCACAUUCUGCCUUCCUACUUACUAUGCCAGAAAGGAUUAAGGAAAUAAAGCAUAGGAUAGAAAACUUAAAACUCAGUGUGAUGGCAGGCUCUGCACUUACAGUUUUAAAGCAAAACAUUUCCAGGGCUGGGGAUUUAGCUCAUCGGCAUAAAUGCCUGCCUUGCAAGCAGGCAGUUGUGAAUUUGAUCCCUGAUACCGAUAAAAAUGAAAAAGACAAAAAAAAAAAAAAAAAAAAAAAAAAAAAAAAAAAAAAAAAGGCAAAACAUUUCCAAGGCUCCAACUAUAAAAGAUCUUUUUAAAUUGGUGUUGGUGAGACUUUGACAGUUUAACUCAUUCUCAUUUAUUUCCUUUAUGACAAAUAUUCAGAGCUAACAGAUUCAGAGUGCAUCUUUCUCUUCAAAUAUAAUUAAGGAAAGCCUAGUGUUAAAAUUCCAAAGCUACCGGGGCUGGAGAUUUAGCUCAGCGACAUGAGCACCCGCCUUGGAAGCAGGCAGUCGUGAGUUUGAUCCCUGGUACCGAUAAAAAGGAAAAAGACCAAACAAACAAACAAACAAAAAAUCCAAAGCUACCAAUUUUCUCCAACAGUCAGGCUAAACUUUCAAGUAUUUACUUUUUUUUGUCUGUUUUUUAUUGGUACUGGGGAUCAAAUACUUAUCAUUUUGGGUGUCAGUUGUAAAACAGAUUUUCAGUUGAAUCCCUUAAUAACCAUUUGUUUAAAAUCAUCAACCCACAUUUUACUUCCUACUAAGCUUGUUGAUUUAUUCAUCAUAUAAAAUGGAGUCUAGCUGUCUUUUAUGGGCCAUCCUAAUCCUGAAAUCUAAUUCCUACUUGAACACAGAACUGAAGCUAAUUUUCAAGAAAAUAUUUUUACAUUCAGUAAUGUAUAAGGAUAAUAGCCUUUUAAAAAUCAGUAAGGGCCUUCUGUUUUAGAAUCUAUCCAAGAUUUCUGCCUUUGAAAUGUAUUGCUAUUAGUUGUUUUUCUUUGCAUGAAUGGUUAAUGUGGUAUAAUAAAAAUAUUUGGCCUUUUGUCAUUGAUUCAGAGCAAAUUCCUAAAAUCUGAUAAUAAUGCCUUUUGGCCUUACCAAUUUAUGCUGAUUUACUGAUAAGAGGCCUUAGCUUCAAGAGGGGUUAUACUACCACAGGAAUCAACCAAGAUGACAACUAUCAAUCUGGCCCACUGUGAGAUCGCUGGGGGAAAGCAAAGGGCUGGAAACUGACUUCAGUUACUAAAAUAAAGUUUAAUCCACUUAGAUUAUAAAUUGGUCAACAGUCAACAUACAGGGAGAGUAAAUCAGAGACAACAUAGAAGCUCUGACCACCACCUACUGUACACUCUCACCUUAUACAUCUCAUCCGUUUAUUCUUGAAUUACAUCCUCUUUAAUAAAACUAUAAUUGUUUAGUAUUGGGCCAUUAUCAAACUUGGGGGCUAUGGGAGACCCCAAAUUUGUAGUUGGCUGAACAUUAGCAUCUGCAGUCAUUUGUGGCUGGGCCUAAAGUGGCAACAGUUUUGUGGUCCUGAGCACUUAAUCUAUUAAUUCUAGGUAGCAUUCAAAUUGAAGUGCUGAGCAGCCACAUGAUCUCUGAAAACUGCUGUUCAAACACCAGAGUGGGAGACAGACUUUCCUAUGACAAGCACCACACUCCACUGCUCAACUGCCACACUGUAGAGACUUACCUUAAAACCCCAGUAAGGAUAGUUAGAAAACAGUGUAUGAACAAAUAACCCAAUUCAGUAGUUGGAGCAGAGAGAUACACAAUUUUUUUUUUUUUUUUUGGUACUGGGAACUGAACCCAGGACCUUGCACUUGCCAGGCAGGCUCUGUACUGAGCUAGUGCCUGGCCCUACAAUUUACAAAAGUUGAUGAUGAUAUAUAUGUAUAAAUAGAUAGAUAGAUAGAUAGACACAUACAUUGCUUUGCAAACCACACAGUGCUAUUCAAACCAGUGGCUUAUCAGUGGGUCAAUCUCCUCUCCUUUUCCAAAUUCACUGGCAUUCACAGCAUACUGACAGCCUUAUUUAUACCUUUUGGGAAAAGGAAAAUGAGAAUAUCUACUCCUUAAAACUGCCUUAAAAGACUUUUGAUGUGCCUUUGCUCUUGAUCCUUGUGGUCACAUCUCUUCAGAAAGGAUUAUGUUUUUUUAAAAAAAAAAGAGGAUUAUGUUUAAAAAUAAACCCUGUUUCAUACCUUGGCUUAAAGGUAGAGUAUGAGCUAUUUUCAGCAUUCAAAAUCAAACAUACUAGCUAGCAAUUUACACAUUUGAGAUCACUGUCUUCUAAGGGUGAUUAAAAAAAAAUUGUAACUCAGUAGCAUAGCUAUCCUAAGGCAAAA